rnacentral:rRNA from 1 species
CCUACGGGAGGCAGCAGUGGGGAAUCUUGCGCAAUGGGCGAAAGCCUGACGCAGCAACGCCGCGUGCGGGAAGAAGGCCUUCGGGUUGUAAACCGCUUUCAGCAGGAACGAAAAUGACGGUACCUGCAGAAGAAGGUGCGGCCAACUAUGUGCCAGCAGCCGCGGUGAUACAUAGGCACCAAGCGUUGUCCGGAUUUAUUGGGCGUAAAGAGCUCGUAGGCGGUUCAGUCAGUCGGGUGUGAAAACUCUGGGCUUAACCCAGAGCCUGCACCCGAUACUGCUGUGACUAGAGUUCGGUAGGGGAGCGGGGAAUUCCUGGUGUAGCGGUGAAAUGCGCAGAUAUCAGGAGGAACACCGGAUGGCGAAGGCACCGCUCUGGGCCGAAACUGACGCUGAGGAGCGAAAGCAUGGGUAGCAAACAGGAUUAGAUACCCUGGUAGUCCCAUGCCGUAAACGUUGGGCACUAGGUNUGGGUUCCAAUCAACGGAAUCCGCGCCGUCGCUAACGCAUUAAGUGCCCCGCCUGGGGGAGUACGUCGCGAGACAACACAAGAAGUAGACGGCGUGAGACGUCGCCGACGGACGACGACGAGGGAGGUUAGG